CUGACGGUAGAAGGAAGGUAAGUCUGCUGUUAAAGAUUUUUCGGAACUGUGGAUCGGCAGUGGAAACUGUUUAGCUUGAGAGUGGUACGGGUAGAGGGAAUUCCCGGUGUAGCGGUGAAAUGCGUACAUAUCGGGAAGAACACCAGUGGCGAAUGCGCUCGACUGGGCCAUUACUGACGCUGAGGGACGAAAGCUAAGGGAGCAAAGCGAAUUACAUACCCCUGUAUUCCUAUCUGUAAACGAUGGACACUAGGUGUUGCGCGUAUCGACCCGCGCAAUACCGAAGCUAACGCGAUGAGUGUCCCGCCUGGCGAGUACCCACCCCAGUGUGACCCUCAAAGGAAUUGACGGCGGCCCGCACAAGCAGUGGACGAUCUGGUUUAAUUCUAUGCAACACGAAGAACCUCACCACGGAUUGAUAUCCUGUGAAUCUUCUUGAAAUAAGAGAGUGACUUCCGGAACGCCGAGACAGGUGGUGCCUGGCUGUCUUCAACUCGAGACGAGAGAUGUUACGUUAAAAUCCCGCUACCGGCCGCACUCCUUUCCCUUAGUUGCCCUUCAUUCAUUUGGCCACUCUAGGGAGACUGCCGAGUCACACCCCGUAAGAACGUGCGGACGACGUCAAGUCAUCAUGCCCCUUACGCCCUGGCUACAAGGUCCUAGAAAGCUGCGGACAGAAGGCAGCCACCUCCGAGAGUACUCAAAUCCUCACAAACGUCGGGCCAAUAUAUAUGGCAGGCUGUCACCUCGCUUGCCUGAAAGAAGGAAUCCGCUCG
rnacentral:rRNA from 1 species